rnacentral:tRNA from 1 species
UCUUUUGUAGUUUAAAUUUUAAAAUCUUGCUUUUUCAUAGCAAAUAUACUUUAUUUUAAGUCUUAAGUGAG